rnacentral:lncRNA from 1 species
ACACACACACACACACACACACACACACACACGUCCAGCCACUCACACAGACCUCCCUGGUCUCCUCACUACUACGAUCAGGCAAUCACAGCAGCAAGGUCUCUGUUAAUCUGUUCCUCCUUUAUCCUGCUCUGCUGCUGGUCAAUGGAUCCUGUCCCCCUUCCCUGUAGAGUGGAGGUAAGACACGGAUCCUGUCCCUUCCCUGUAGAGUGGAGGUAAAACACGGAUCCUGUCCCUUCCUUGUAGAGUGGAGGUAAAACACGGAUCCUGUCCCUUCCUUGUAGAGUGGAGGUAAAACACAGAUCCUAUCUCUUCCCUGUAGAGUGGAGGUAAAACACGGAUCCGGACCCUUCCCUGUAGAGUGGAGGUAAAACACGGAUCCUGUCCCUUCCCUGUAGAGUGGAGGUAAAACACGGAUCCUGGCCCUUCCCUGUAGAGUGGAGGUAAAACACGGAUCCCCUCCCUUCCCUGUAGAGUGGAGGUAAAACACGGAUCCUGUCCCCCUUCCCUGUAGAGUGGAGGUAAAACACGGAUCCGGACCCUUCCCUGUUGAUUGGAGGUAAAACACGGAUCCUGUGCCCCUUCCCUGUAGAGUGGAGGUGAAACACGGAUCCUGUCCCCCUUCCCUGUAGAGUGGAG